rnacentral:misc_RNA from 1 species
AUAUUUAUCAACCUCUUUGGUUGGAUGUGGGUUUGCUGGCCCUUUGAGGUCAGCUUUCCUUAAAUUCAUUAGCUGACAACAUCUUGUUAACCGUUCAUUGGUGUGAUAAUUAUCUACAACAUUGAUGUGAAGCAAGGUUCAGCUUCUAACAGUCCAUUGACUUGGACAAAUUUAUGAA